GGAGAUUUAGCUCAGUGGUGUAAGCACCUGCCUGGCAAGCGGGAGGUCAUGAAUCUGAUCUCCC
rnacentral:tRNA from 1 species